CCUCAGGCCUACUAACAGUGAGUCCUUAUUUCAGCCAGAGUAUAAACUACCUAACUUCCUAAGAGAAACUAAAGACAGAACUUCAAUACGAUCCCCUGAAUAAUCCUCUUCUAUUGGAUGCCUGAAACAUAGAUUAUGCCGAUGCCACCACAUCCACCACCAACCCCACUAGAGACAGCAGUUAAUCUGAAGUUAAGAUGGUGCAACUGACGGCCGGAUUUGGCUUUGGAAUAAAAAAAAAUCCUUAUAAUGACACUUGUAACUGGGAAAGCCUCACAAUGUUGUAACACAGCGCUUGAUUAGCAGCCAGUGGACUAUCUCCAGUCCACAGCCAGGCUCCCUUAUGACGGGGUGCGUGAUGUCAUAGAGCAGCUGCAAAUGUCACAGAGCGACUGGGCCUGCAUUCAAGACAGUUAAUAAAGGGCGAAAAAAAAGCGAAUUCA